rnacentral:misc_RNA from 1 species
GUAUUGUAUUGCGUUAAACGCGAUGUACAUUCCAUGAGACUUCGUUACAGUGUGUGUGUGUGUGUAAAUACAUAGAACCACGGCAGGGGAACAGAGCCCCCAGGCUGCAGAACUACGGAGGGUGCACAGGUGUGAGUGGAUGUGCAAACAGAGUGUGCACAUGCCCCCAUUUGGAGACCAGCAACAACUCAUGUUGACAAUUCGGUAAUGAUCCUUCCGCAGGUUCACCUACGGAAA